AUUGAACGCUGGCGGCAGGCCUAACACAUGCAAGUCGAACGAGUCGCGGAUGGGUGAGUAAUCUGUGGGACACCGCCUGCUGGAGGGGGAUAUACACUGGACACGGUCGCUAAUACCGCAAACCAUCAUAUGUGCACAGAUGGGAUUAGCUAGUUGGUGGGGUAACGGCUCAUCAAGGCGAAGCUCCAUAGGUGGUCUGAGGGGAGGACCAGCCACACUGCAACUGAGACACGGUCCAGACUCCUACGGGAGGCAGCAGUGGGGAAUAUUGCACAAUGGGCGCAAGCCUGAUGCAGCCAUGCCGCGUGUGUGAAGAAGGCCUUCGGGUUGUAAAGUACUUUCAGCGGGGAGGCGUUACCCGCAGAAGAAGCACCGGCUAACUCCGUGCCAGCCGCCGCGGUAAUAC
rnacentral:rRNA from 1 species